UGAAAAAAAGGAAUAAGGAUAUAAACUCGUGGAGAGGAAAAUAAACACUAUACUUUAGAGCAUAUACAAGAAUGGAGACCCAUUUCCCUUCAUCCUCCAGAACAUCUUUUGAUUCAAAUCUGGGACCUUGAGUUCAUAUUAUGCAGGGAUUUGGUAUUGGUUCAGUCACAAAGGCGCGAGUGUUUUAUUUAGCAUAAGUCUUUUCAAACCUAUAUUUUUCUCUAAUCCACUCCUCUAGUGCCUCCGCUUCAUCAAUUUUGGUACUUUGGGGACGUGGAAGGAUAAGGUUUUUAGUGGGAUCAUUAGUGGUAUUGUUCACCUCUACCUUUGUGUUGGGCGUCUCAUCAAAGAUGGUGUCUCCUUUCCCUUAGGGAUGGGGAUGCUUGUUCCAUGUGCUUUGAAAAGAUUCAUUCCUCCAUCUGAGGUUGAGAUUGAAAGGGUUUGGACAGGGGUAGAACGUCGGUGAUGAGAUGAAACUCUCAGUGUUUGAUAGAUUUUGUUCUUGAGACAUUUUUGAAUGAAGUAAAGAAGUGAAAGAGAAAUCUUACUCGUGUUUCUGGGGUCAAAGGAAGACUCAAGUAUAAAGAUAGAUAUUCUUUCUUUUGCUUCGAUUUCUUUAGGAAAAAUGAUAGAGAAUGGUAAAGGUUUUUCUAGUUGAAGAGGGAGUUUAAGUAUUUUCAUGAACGGUUAAAAUGGAAGAUAGGUCAAUAGUCUAGAAUAACUUGUUAUGGGUAGGUUGAUGGCAUGGGGACACAUGCACUAAAUGAUGGACACCUUUUACCGUUUUCGAUGCAAUUAAUGCGGCAUGUGGGUGCUCCUUCAUUUCUUUUCAUGUCACAUAAACAUCUGAAUGGUAACGGUUGGUUCAAGAUUUUUCUUUCGAUAACCCUUUCGAGAAAUUAAUGUCCCGAGAGUUGCCUCAGACCAAAAGUCAGACUUCGAAAAGCUCUUUUGAGCAUUUAUCUUUCUCUAAUUUACUAUGGGAGUGGGGGCAAUGUUUGGAUAUAAUUUAUUGGGCUUAGUUAUUGAACUGGGUCUGAGCCCAAAUUUGUUGUGGAUCACGUGGCUUGAGACCUAGGUUCAGUUAUUUGGUCACAAUCAAUUAGGAG
rnacentral:lncRNA from 1 species